rnacentral:rRNA from 1 species
AUAAGAGGGUGCUAGCUUGCUAGAACUUAGAGACAGGUGCUGCACGGCUGUCGUCAGCUCGUGUCGUGAGAUGUUGGGUUAAGUCCCGCAACGAGCGCAACCCACGUAUUUAGUUGCUAACGGUUCGGCCGAGCACUCUAAAUAGACUGCCUUCGUAAGGAGGAGGAAGGUGUGGACGACGUCAAGUCAUCAUGGCCCUUAUGCCCAGGGCGACACACGUGCUACAAUGGCAUAUACAAUGAGACGCAAUACCGCGAGGUGGAGCAAAUCUAUAAAAUAUGUCCCAGUUCGGAUUGUUCUCUGCAACUCGAGAGCAUGAAGCCGGAAUCGCUAGUAAUCGUAGAUCAGCCAUGCUACGGUGAAUACGUUCCCGGGUCUUGUACUCACCGCCCGUCACACCAUGGGAGUUGAUUUCACUCGAAGCCGGAAUACUAAACUAGUUACCGUCCACAGUGGAAUCAGCGACUGGGGUGAAGUCGUAACAAGGUAACCGUAGGAGAACCUGCGGUUGGAUCACCUCCUUUCUAG